CUUUUUGAAUUUAUUAAAAGUCGUGCCUGCCCACUGAAGUUUAUUGAAGGGCCGCGGUAUUUUGACCGUGCAAAGGUAGCAUAAUCAUUAGUCUUUUAAUUGGGGGCUGGGAUGAAUGGUUUGACGAAACAAUGACUGUCUCUAUUAAGUAAUUUUUGAAGUUUACUUUUAAGUUAAAAGGCUUAAAUGUUAAUAGGGGACGAGAAGACCCUAUAGAUCUUUAUUUAUGAAUUGAUAAUUUUUUAUUGGUUGUGUUAUGAAUUAUUGGUUUGUAAAUUUUAUUGGGGUGAUAUGAGAAUAUAUAUAACUUCUUACGACUAAGACUUUGAUGUUUGGGUGUGAUGAUCCUUUAUUAUGGAUAUAAGAUUAAGAUACCUUAGGGAUAACAGCGUAAUUUUAUUUGAGAGUUCUUAUCGACAAUAAAGAUUGCGACCUCGAUGUUGGAUUAAGAUUAUAAGUUGGUGUAGAAGCUAAUAUUUAUUAGUCUGUUC
rnacentral:rRNA from 1 species